rnacentral:rRNA from 1 species
UACGGAGGGUGCAAGCGUUAAUCGGAAUUACUGGGCGUAAAGGGUGCGUAGGCGGUUAUGUAAGUUAUCUGUGAAAUCCCUGGGCUCAACCUAGGUAGGAAAGAUAAGACUGCGUAACUGGAGUGUGGUAGAGGAUAGUGGAAUUUCAGGUGUAGCGGUGAAAUGCGUAGAGAUCUGAAGGAACACCAGUGGCGAAGGCGGCUAUCUGGACCAACACUGACGCUGAGGCACGAAAGCGUGGGGAGCAAACAGG